rnacentral:rRNA from 1 species
GACGAACGCUGGCGGCGUGCCUAAUACAUGCAAGUUGAGCGCUGAAGGUUGGUACUUGUUCCAACUGGAUGAGCAGCGAACGGGUGAGUAACGCGUGGGGAAUCUGCCUUUGAGCGGGGGACAACAUUUGGAAACGAAUGCUAAUACCGCAUAAAAACUUUAAACACAAGUUUUAAGUUUGAAAGAUGCAAUUGCAUCACUCAAAGAUGAUCCCGCGUUGUAUUAGCUAGUUGGUGAGGUAAAGGCUCACCAAGGCGAUGAUACAUAGCCGACCUGAGAGGGGGGACGGGCAAAAUUGGACUUGAGCACGGCCCAAGAUUCUACGGGGAGCAGCAGGAAGGAAUCUUCGGCAAAGGAGGAAAGUCUGGCCGGGGAACGCCGGGUGGGUGAAGAAGGUUUUCGGAUCGGAAAACUCUGUUGGUAGGGGAGAACGUUGGGGGUAGUGGAAAGCUCAUCAAGUGACGGUAACUACCCAGAAAGGGACGGCUAACUACGUG